rnacentral:rRNA from 1 species
CCUACGGGAGACAGCAGUGAGGAAUAUUGGUCAAUGGACGAGAGUCUGAACCAGCCAAGUAGCGUGAAGGAUGACUGCCCUAUGGGUUGUAAACUUCUUUUAUAUGGGAAUAAAAUGUUCCACGUGUGGGAUUUUGUAUGUACCAUAUGAAUAAGGAUCGGCUAACUCCGUGCCAGCAGCCGCGGUAAUACGGAGGAUCCGAGCGUUAUCCGGAUUUAUUGGGUUUAAAGGGAGCGUAGGUGGAUUGUUUAGUCAGUUGUGAAAGUUUGCGGCUCAACCGUAAAAUUGCAGUUGAAACUGGCAGUCUUGAGUACAGUAGAGGUGGGCGGAAUUCGUGGUGUAGCGGUGAAAUGCUUAGAUAUCACGAAGAACUCCGAUUGCGAAGGCAGUUCACUGGACUGCAACUGACACUGAGGCUCGAAAGUGUGGGUAUCAAACAGGAUUAGAUACCCCAGUAGUC